UUUUGUCCUUAUACCUGAAGACGCCAAGCUUUUCAAAAGCCAUCAGAAGGCGCGGCCUGCCACCUGGACAAACGCGGUCUCCCCCAGAGCCCGGUUGCGCCCCGAAGCCGGGUUCCGUCCCAUCUCCGACAAAGACACUUCCUGAUUUGCCCCUCGCCAGACUCCAGCAAUUUUCUGGGUCCCCGGGAAGCUGAUUUCGCCUCUGGGCUUCCAUGAUUAGUGGCAGCUGGAGCGCUGCUCCCCAACCUGGGCCCACUUUAGGGUGUGUG
rnacentral:lncRNA from 1 species